UUAAGCGACUAAGCGUACACGGUGGAUGCCCUGGCAGUCAGAGGCGAUGAAGGACGUGCUAAUCUGCGAUAAGCGUCGGUAAGGUGAUAUGAACCGUUAUAACCGGCGAUUUCCGAAUGGGGAAACCCAGUGUGUUUCGACACACUAUCAUUAACUGAAUCCAUAGGUUAAUGAGGCGAACCGGGGGAACUGAAACAUCUAAGUACCCCGAGGAAAAGAAAUCAACCGAGAUUCCCCCAGUAGCGGCGAGCGAACGGGGAGCAGCCCAGAGCCUGAAUCAGUGUGUGUGUUAGUGGAAGCGUCUGGAAAGGCGCGCGAUACAGGGUGACAGCCCCGUACACAAAAAUGCACAUGCUGUGAGCUCGAUGAGUAGGGCGGGACACGUGGUAUCCUGUCUGAAUAUGGGGGGACCAUCCUCCAAGGCUAAAUACUCCUGACUGACCGAUAGUGAACCAGUACCGUGAGGGAAAGGCGAAAAGAACCCCGGCGAGGGGAGUGAAAAAGAACCUGAAACCGUGUACGUACAAGCAGUGGGAGCACGCUUAGGCGUGUGACUGCGUACCUUUUGUAUAAUGGGUCAGCGACUUAUAUUCUGUAGCAAGGUUAACCGAAUAGGGGAGCCGAAGGGAAACCGAGUCUUAACUGGGCGUUAAGUUGCAGGGUAUAGACCCGAAACCCGGUGAUCUAGCCAUGGGCAGGUUGAAGGUUGGGUAACACUAACUGGAGGACCGAACCGACUAAUGUUGAAAAAUUAGCGGAUGACUUGUGGCUGGGGGUGAAAGGCCAAUCAAACCGGGAGAUAGCUGGUUCUCCCCGAAAGCUAUUUAGGUAGCGCCUCGUGAAUUCAUCUCCGGGGGUAGAGCACUGUUUCGGCAAGGGGGUCAUCCCGACUUACCAACCCGAUGCAAACUGCGAAUACCGGAGAAUGUUAUCACGGGAGACACACGGCGGGUGCUAACGUCCGUCGUGAAGAGGGAAACAACCCAGACCGCCAGCUAAGGUCCCAAAGUCAUGGUUAAGUGGGAAACGAUGUGGGAAGGCCCAGACAGCCAGGAUGUUGGCUUAGAAGCAGCCAUCAUUUAAAGAAAGCGUAAUAGCUCACUGGUCGAGUCGGCCUGCGCGGAAGAUGUAACGGGGCUAAACCAUGCACCGAAGCUGCGGCAGCGACGCUGAUGCGUUGUUGGGUAGGGGAGCGUUCUGUAAGCCUGCGAAGGUGUGCUGUGAGGCAUGCUGGAGGUAUCAGAAGUGCGAAUGCUGACAUAAGUAACGAUAAAGCGGGUGAAAAGCCCGCUCGCCGGAAGACCAAGGGUUCCUGUCCAACGUUAAUCGGGGCAGGGUGAGUCGACCCCUAAGGCGAGGCCGAAAGGCGUAGUCGAUGGGAAACAGGUUAAUAUUCCUGUACUUGGUGUUACUGCGAAGGGGGGACGGAGAAGGCUAUGUUGGCCGGGCGACGGUUGUCCCGGUUUAAGCGUGUAGGCUGGUUUUCCAGGCAAAUCCGGAAAAUCAAGGCUGAGGCGUGAUGACGAGGCACUACGGUGCUGAAGCAACAAAUGCCCUGCUUCCAGGAAAAGCCUCUAAGCAUCAGGUAACAUCAAAUCGUACCCCAAACCGACACAGGUGGUCAGGUAGAGAAUACCAAGGCGCUUGAGAGAACUCGGGUGAAGGAACUAGGCAAAAUGGUGCCGUAACUUCGGGAGAAGGCACGCUGAUAUGUAGGUGAAGCGACUUGCUCGUGGAGCUGAAAUCAGUCGAAGAUACCAGCUGGCUGCAACUGUUUAUUAAAAACACAGCACUGUGCAAACACGAAAGUGGACGUAUACGGUGUGACGCCUGCCCGGUGCCGGAAGGUUAAUUGAUGGGGUUAGCGCAAGCGAAGCUCUUGAUCGAAGCCCCGGUAAACGGCGGCCGUAACUAUAACGGUCCUAAGGUAGCGAAAUUCCUUGUCGGGUAAGUUCCGACCUGCACGAAUGGCGUAAUGAUGGCCAGGCUGUCUCCACCCGAGACUCAGUGAAAUUGAACUCGCUGUGAAGAUGCAGUGUACCCGCGGCAAGACGGAAAGACCCCGUGAACCUUUACUAUAGCUUGACACUGAACAUUGAGCCUUGAUGUGUAGGAUAGGUGGGAGGCUUUGAAGUGUGGACGCCAGUCUGCAUGGAGCCGACCUUGAAAUACCACCCUUUAAUGUUUGAUGUUCUAACGUUGACCCGUAAUCCGGGUUGCGGACAGUGUCUGGUGGGUAGUUUGACUGGGGCGGUCUCCUCCUAAAGAGUAACGGAGGAGCACGAAGGUUGGCUAAUCCUGGUCGGACAUCAGGAGGUUAGUGCAAUGGCAUAAGCCAGCUUGACUGCGAGCGUGACGGCGCGAGCAGGUGCGAAAGCAGGUCAUAGUGAUCCGGUGGUUCUGAAUGGAAGGGCCAUCGCUCAACGGAUAAAAGGUACUCCGGGGAUAACAGGCUGAUACCGCCCAAGAGUUCAUAUCGACGGCGGUGUUUGGCACCUCGAUGUCGGCUCAUCACAUCCUGGGGCUGAAGUAGGUCCCAAGGGUAUGGCUGUUCGCCAUUUAAAGUGGUACGCGAGCUGGGUUUAGAACGUCGUGAGACAGUUCGGUCCCUAUCUGCCGUGGGCGCUGGAGAACUGAGGGGGGCUGCUCCUAGUACGAGAGGACCGGAGUGGACGCAUCACUGGUGUUCGGGUUGUCAUGCCAAUGGCACUGCCCGGUAGCUAAAUGCGGAAGAGAUAAGUGCUGAAAGCAUCUAAGCACGAAACUUGCCCCGAGAUGAGUUCUCCCUGACUCCUUGAGAGUCCUGAAGGAACGUUGAAGACGACGACGUUGAUAGGCCGGGUGUGUAAGCGCAGCGAUGCGUUGAGCUAACCGGUACUAAUGAACCGUGAGGCUUAACCUU
rnacentral:rRNA from 2 species